AGACACAGGCAGCACGACAGGCAGGUGCUGUGGUACCUUGAGGAUCGACUCCAAAGAAGCCAGACUCCGGUGCAGCGUAUGAAGUCUCCUGAUGCAACGCUGGAUGCAUGUCUUCCCACCACAACCGUGAGCAAUGGGUGCUGACAAAAACUGCACUAACUUAGAAUCAACUGCGAGAGCGAUUUUGACUUGGCAUACCACUCUUGGAUAUUUUCAUCCCCACUAUUUGCAGCUGGCUCAGUGAUACCACAGCAAGC
rnacentral:lncRNA from 1 species